rnacentral:tmRNA from 1 species
GGGGGCGACCGGUAUCGACGAUAUAUGAGAUGUGUCGAACUGCAAGCGGAGGAUGACAGUUCCCUCCUUAAUCAUCUGUUACAACUAUAAAUGCCGAUUACGGCUACAUGGCUGCAGCUUAAGUCUAGCGGCCCGUCCUAGUGUAGAUGAGUCUAUGGUCUUAACUAAGGGCGUCACUAACAUAGGCUAGUCUCAAAUAUGCUUUUGAAUUUGAGAUAAAAUAUAAGAAAGCUAGUUUAGUUUUGUUUUAGUUCCUGAUACAAAAUUAAAUAAAAAAUCAAUCAGGAAACUAAGCUUGUAGAUGUUUUUCAUUACUCUAUUUCGGACGGGAGUUCGAUUCUCCCCGCCUCCAC